rnacentral:rRNA from 1 species
GAUGAACGCUGGCGGCGUGCCUAAUACAUGCAAGUCGAGCGAACAGACGAGGAGUUUGCUCCUCUGACGUUAGCGGCGGACGGGUGAGUAACACGUGGAUAACCUACCUAUAAGACUGGGAUAACUUCGGGAAACCUGAGCUAAUACCGGAUAAUAUAUUGAACCUCAUGGUUCAAUAGUCAAAGACGGUUUUGCUGUCACUUAUAGAUGGAUCCGCGCCGAAUUAGCUAGUUGGUAAGGUAACGGCUUACCAAGGCAACGAUGCGUAGCCGACCUGAGAGGGUGAUCGGCCAGACUGGAACUGAGACACGGUCCAGACUCCUACGGGAGGAAGCAGUAGGGAAUCUUCCGCAAUGGGCGAAAGCCUGACGGAGCAAAGCCGCGUGAGUGAUGAAGGUCUUCGGAUCGUAAAACUCUGUUAGUAGGGAAGAACAAAUGUGUAAGUACCUAUGCACGUAUUGACGGUACCUAAAGAGAAAGCCACGGCUAACUACGUG